rnacentral:lncRNA from 1 species
CACCCCUCAUCCAGGUCCCACCUCUCCAAGGUUCCACCCCUCACCCAGGUCCCACCUCUCCAAGGCUCCGCCCCUCACCCAGGUCCCACCUCUCCAAGGCUCCGCCCCUCUCCCAGGGCCCACCUCUCCAAGGCUCCAUUCCUCUCCCAGGUCCCACCUCUCCAAGGCUCUGCCCCUCACCCAGGUCCCACCUCUCCAAGGCUCCAUUCCUCUCCCAGGUCGCACCUCUCCAAGGCCCUGCCUACCUCUCCAAGGUCCCACCCACCUAUGAAUAGGCCACAUUCCUGUCCUGGGACCACCUGUCCAAGGCUCUGCCCCUCACCCAAGUCUGACCUCUCCAAGCCCCAUCCACCUAUGCACAGGCCACACCCUCAUCCUAGGACCGUUUCUCCACAAGACCCACUCCUUCCCCACCAGGUCCCACCUCUCUCCAAGGCCCCUCCACCUCUC